CUUGGUCAUUUAGAGGAAGUAAAAGUCGUAACAAGGUCUCCGUAGGUGAACCUGCGGAGGGAUCAUUACACAAAUAUGAAGGCGGGCUGGAACCUCUCGGGGUUACAGCCUUGCUGAAUUAUUCACCCUUGUCUUUUGCGUACUUCUUGUUUCCUUGGUGGGUUCGCCCACCACUAGGACAAACAUAAACCUUUUGUAAUUGCAAUCAGCGUCAGUAACAAAUUAAUAAUUACAACUUUCAACAACGGAUCUCUUGGUUCUGGCAUCGAUGAAGAACGCAGCGAAAUGCGAUAAGUAGUGUGAAUUGCAGAAUUCAGUGAAUCAUCGAAUCUUUGAACGCACAUUGCGCCCUUUGGUAUUCCAAAGGGCAUGCCUGUUCGAGCGUCAUUUGUACCCUCAAGCUUUGCUUGGUGUUGGGCGUCUUGUCUCUAGCUUUGCUGGAGACUCGCCUUAAAGUAAUUGGCAGCCGGCCUACUGGUUUCGGAGCGCAGCACAAGUCGCACUCUCUAUCAGCAAAGGUCUAGCAUCCAUUAAGCCUUUUUUUCAACUUUUGACCUCGGAUCAGGUAGGGAUACCCGCAGAACUUAAGCAUAUCAAUAAGCGGAGGAAAAGAAACCAACAGGGAUUGCCCUAGUAACGGCGAGUGAAGCGGCAACAGCUCAAAUUUGAAAUCUGGCUCUUUUAGAGUCCGAGUUGUAAUUUGCAGAGGGCGCUUUGGCUUUGGUAGCGG
rnacentral:rRNA from 1 species